ACUCCUACGGGAGGCAGCAGUGGGGAAUAUUGCACAUAUGGGGGGAAAACCCCUGAUGCAGCCAUGCCGCGUGUGUGAAGAAGGCCUUCGGGUUGUAAAGCACUUUCAGUAGGGAGGAAGGUAGUGUAGUUAACACCUGCACUAUUUUGACGUUACCUNNCAAGAACGAAGGCAAGAACCGGGCCACCGGCUUAAACCUUCCCGGUGGCCCAGCAGCCGCGGUAAUACGGAGGGUGCGAGCGUUAAUCGGAAUUACUGGGCGUAAGCGCAUGCAGGCGGCCUGUUAAGUCGAUGUGAAAGCCCGGGGCUUAACCUCGGAAUUGCAUUUGAAACUGGCAGGGCUAGAGUCUUGUAGAGGGGGGUAGAAUUUCAGGUGUAGCGGUGAAAAUGCGUUAGAGAUCUGAAGGAAUACCAGUGGCG
rnacentral:rRNA from 1 species